rnacentral:rRNA from 1 species
CUACGUGCCAGCAGCCGCGGUAAUACGUAUGUCACAAGCGUUAUCCGGAUUUAUUGGGCGUAAAGCGCGUCUAGGUGGUUAUAUAAGUCUGAUGUGAAAAUGCAGGGCUCAACUCUGUAUUGCGUUGGAAACUGUGUAACUAGAGUACUGGAGAGGUAAGCGGAACUACAAGUGUAGAGGUGAAAUUCGUAGAUAUUUGUAGGAAUGCCGAUGGGGAAGCCAGCUUACUGGACAGAUACUGACGCUGAAGCGCGAAAGCGUGGGUAGCAAACAGGAUUAGAUACCCUGGUAGUCCACGCCGUAAACGAUGAUUACUAGGUGUUGGGGGUCGAACCUCAGCGCCCAAGCAAACGCGAUAAGUAAUCCGCCUGGGGAGUACGUACGCAAGUAUGAAACUCAAAGGAAUUGACGGGGACCCGCACAAGCGGUGGAGCAUGUGGUUUAAUUCGACGCAACGCGAGGAACCUUACCAGCGUUUGACAU